UACGUAGGGUGCAAGCGUUGUCCGGAAUUAUUGGGCGUAAAGAGCUCGUAGGCGGUUUGUCGCGUCGGCUGUGAAAGCCCGGAGCUCAACUCCGGGUCUGCAGUCGAUACGGGCAGACUUGAGUGUUGCAGGGGAGACUGGAAUUCCUGGUGUAGCGGUGAAAUGCGCAGAUAUCAGGAGGAACACCGGUGGCGAAGGCGGGUCUCUGGGACGGUACUGACGCUGAGACGCGAAAGCGUGGGGAGCGAACAGG
rnacentral:rRNA from 1 species